rnacentral:rRNA from 1 species
UACGGAGGGGGCUAGCGUUGUUCGGAAUUACUGGGCGUAAAGCGCACGUAGGCGGCUUUGUAAGUUAGAGGUGAAAGCCCGGGGCUCAACUCCGGAACUGCCUUUAAGACUGCAUCGCUAGAAUUGUGGAGAGGUAAGUGGAAUUCCGAGUGUAGAGGUGAAAUUCGUAGAUAUUCGGAAGAACACCAGUGGCGAAGGCGACUUACUGGACACAUAUUGACGCUGAGGUGCGAAGGCGUGGGGAGCAAACAGG